UACGGAGGGUGCAAGCGUUAUCCGGAUUCACUGGGUUUAAGGGGUGCGUAGGCGGGCAGGUAAGUCAGAGGUGAAAUCUCCGGGCUUAACCCGGAAACUGCCUUUGAUACUAUCUGUCUUGAAUAUGGUGGAGGUAAGCGGAAUAUGUCAUGUAGCGGUGAAAUGCUUAGAGAUGACAUAGAACACCUAUUGCGAAGGCAGCUUACUACGCCUAUAUUGACGCUGAGGCACGAAAGCGUGGGGAUCAAACAGG
rnacentral:rRNA from 1 species